rnacentral:lncRNA from 1 species
UUUGGUUUUUGGUGCCAAGAUUGGAUAAAUUUUCAAUUUCUUGCUGUUUGAGAUUAUAUGGUUGGAAAACACUCUUUAUAUCCCCAAAUGACUACUGUAAAAAUCCUUCUCCAAGAAAUAUUUCAUUUUCAAUGGUUUUCAAGCUAGCCAAGUUAGGUGCUGAGACUUGACUAAAUUUGUCCUUGGUGUCAUGAUUUGUAAGAUUUUCAGAAUCUUGGUUAUUGAGAUUUGAUAGUUGGAAUCCACUUUUUAUAUCAUCAAAUGGGUACUAUAAAAAUCACGUGCAAGAAAUUUUUCAUUUUGGUUGGUUUUCAAGCGAGCAAAGUUAGGUGGUGAGACUUGGCUAAGUUUGUCCUUAGUGUCAAGAUUUGUAUCAUCAAAUGACUACCCUAAAAAUCUUGCUGCGAGAAAUUAUUCAUUUUUGUUGGUUUUCCAGGUAGCCAAAUAUUGUGGUGAGACUUGGCUAAUUUGGUGUUUCGUGCCAAUAUUGGAUAAAUUUUCAAUUUCUUGCUGUUUGAGAUUAUAUGGUUGGAAAACACUCUUUAUAUCCCCAAAUGACUACUGUAAAAAUCCUUCUACAAGCAAUGUUUCAUUUUCAAUGGUUUUCAAGCUACCUAAGUUAGGUGGUGAGACUUGACUAAAUUUGUCCUUGGUGUCAAGAUUUGUGAAAUUUUNNN